GACGAACGCUGGCGGCGUGCUUAACACAUGCAAGUCGAACGGAAAGGCUCCAGCUUGCUGGAGUACUCGAGUGGCGAACGGGUGAGUAACACGUGGGUAAUCUGCCCUGCACUCUGGGAUAAGCCUGGGAAACUGGGUCUAAUACUGGAUAUGACCUUUCUCCUUAUGGGGUUUGGUGGAAAGUUUCUCGGUGUAGGAUGAGCCCGCGGCCUAUCAGCUUGUUGGUGGGGUGAUGGCCUACCAAGGCGACGACGGGUAGCCGGCCUGAGAGGGUGAUCGGCCACAUUGGGACUGAGAUACGGCCCAGACUCCUACGGGAGGCAGCAGUGGGGAAUAUUGCACAAUGGGCGGAAGCCUGAUGCAGCGACGCCGCGUGAGGGAUGACGGCCUUCGGGUUGUAAACCUCUUUCAGCAGGGACGAAGCGUAAGUGACGGUACCUGCAGAAGAAGCACCGGCUAACUAUGUG
rnacentral:rRNA from 1 species